GGUUAAGCGACUAAGCGUACACGGUGGAUGCCCUGGCAGUCAGAGGCGAUGAAGGACGUGCUAAUCUGCGAUAAGCGCCGGUAAGGUGAUAUGAACCGUUAUAACCGGCGAUUUCCGAAUGGGGAAACCCAGUGUGAUUCGUCACACUAUCAUUAACUGAAUCCAUAGGUUAAUGAGGCGAACCGGGGGAACUGAAACAUCUAAGUACCCCGAGGAAAAGAAAUCAACCGAGAUUCCCCCAGUAGCGGCGAGCGAACGGGGAGGAGCCCAGAGCCUGAAUCAGCAUGUGUGUUAGUGGAAGCGUCUGGAAAGGCGCGCGAUACAGGGUGACAGCCCCGUACACAAAAGCGCAUGUGCUGUGAGCUCGAUGAGUAGGGCGGGACACGUGGUAUCCUGUCUGAAUAUGGGGGGACCAUCCUCCAAGGCUAAAUACUCCUGACUGACCGAUAGUGAACCAGUACCGUGAGGGAAAGGCGAAAAGAACCCCGGCGAGGGGAGUGAAAAAGAACCUGAAACCGUGUACGUACAAGCAGUGGGAGCACCCUUCGGGGUGUGACUGCGUACCUUUUGUAUAAUGGGUCAGCGACUUAUAUUCUGUAGCAAGGUUAACCGAAUAGGGGAGCCGGAGGGAAACCGAGUCUUAAUUGGGCGUUAAGUUGCAGGGUAUAGACCCGAAACCCGGUGAUCUAGCCAUGGGCAGGUUGAAGGUUGGGUAACACUAACUGGAGGACCGAACCGACUAAUGUUGAAAAAUUAGCGGAUGACCUGUGGCUGGGGGUGAAAGGCCAAUCAAACCGGGAGAUAGCUGGUUCUCCCCGAAAGCUAUUUAGGUAGCGCCUCGUGAAUUCAUCUCCGGGGGUAGAGCACUGUUUCGGCUAGGGGGUCAUCCCGACUUACCAACCCGAUGCAAACUGCGAAUACCGGAGAAUGUUAUCACGGGAGACACACGGCGGGUGCUAACGUCCGUCGUGAAGAGGGAAACAACCCAGACCGCCAGCUAAGGUCCCAAAGUCAUGGUUAAGUGGGAAACGAUGUGGGAAGGCCCAGACAGCCAGGAUGUUGGCUUAGAAGCAGCCAUCAUUUAAAGAAAGCGUAAUAGCUCACUGGUCGAGUCGGCCUGCGCGGAAGAUGUAACGGGGCUAAACCAUGCACCGAAGCUGCGGCAGCGACGCUGAUGCGUUGUUGGGUAGGGGAGCGUUCUGUAAGCCUGUGAAGGUGGCCUGUGAGGGUUGCUGGAGGUAUCAGAAGUGCGAAUGCUGACAUAAGUAACGAUAAAGCGGGUGAAAAGCCCGCUCGCCGGAAGACCAAGGGUUCCUGUCCAACGUUAAUCGGGGCAGGGUGAGUCGACCCCUAAGGCGAGGCCGAAAGGCGUAGUCGAUGGGAAACGGGUUAAUAUUCCCGUACUUGGUGUUACUGCGAAGGGGGGACGGAGAAGGCUAUGUUGGCCGGGCGACGGUUGUCCCGGUUUAAGCGUGUAGGUGUGUGUUCCAGGUAAAUCCGGUUCACUUUAACACUGAGGCGUGA
rnacentral:rRNA from 1 species